GUGGGGAAUCUUGCGCAAUGGGCGAAAGCCUGACGCAGCCAUGCCGCGUGAAUGAUGAAGGUCUUAGGAUUGUAAAAUUCUUUCACCGGGGACGAUAAUGACGGUACCCGGAGAAGAAGCCCCGGCUAACUUCGUGCCAGCAGCCGCGGUAAUACGAAGGGGGCUAGCGUUGCUCGGAAUUACUGGGCGUAAAGGGCGCGUAGGCGGACAGUUUAGUCAGAGGUGAAAGCCCAGGGCUCAACCUUGGAAUUGCCUUGGAUACUGGCUGUCUUGAGUACGGGAGAGGUGAGUGGAACUCCGAGUGUAGAGGUGAAAUUCGUAGAUAUUCGGAAGAACACCAGUGGCGAAGGCGACUCACUGGCCCGUUACUGACGCUGAGGCGCGAAAGCGUGGGGAGCAAACAGGAUUAGAAACCCUUGUAGUCC
rnacentral:rRNA from 1 species